rnacentral:lncRNA from 1 species
CCUGCCAAUACAUUAACUGACAUUAAUUAAAAUAAAAAUAUGUUUAAGGCCACGGUUUUUUAUUUGUUGGUUUACGGAUUUUCCCCAUGAAAAAGUCUGGUCGGUCGGUCGGGAAAAAAAAAGAAAAAAAAUCAUCUUUGAAGACAAAAAAAUAUGCAAAAUCAAUAUAUAUUUCACCUUUCUAGCAAUAUGUUUGUUAUGCUAUUUUAUCAUCAUUUCUAAAAUUUUAGUUCGAUGAAAUAUUAUUGCUCAGCUGUUAUAAACUACGCAUGACAUUGUCUAGUAAUUUACAGUAAAAAAAAGGGGAUGCACGGACAAAGACGAAAUUAAAUCAUCAUUUCAGAAACAAGAAAAAUAGAUUCGCGUAGCUCUUAAUCAAUUCCAGAAAACUUGGUAAAUAAUGAUCUUCAAGCACGAAAACUGAUAAAAAAUGCAUAAACGUCGUACGAAAAUAAGUUUCAACACACGUGUCAACCAGGUGCUCCGCAGGGCGCAGCUUUAUACGACCGCAGAGGUCGAACCCUGAACAGUUGGGGCAAGUAUGGACAAAAAAUUCAAGCGUGAUACAGCUCUGAAUUUGGAUUGUGAUCAAAUUUUUGACAUUACAUGGUUUUUUUUUACACAAAACAAAUGUCAAGAUUUUACAAAUCAAUUAAAGAUUUCUUCUUCAAACUUUUUAAAUCCAAAAUUAAAUAGUUGACACAGCAUAGGUUUCUGACACAGAAUGAAUGUGGUCUAAUGAACUUUUUUUUUUUUGCCUUUGAGCAAUUCACUAUGCUGUUGAAUAUUAAUCCUCUCAAAAAAAUGUUUGAAGAAAUUUUCUUUUUAUUUAUGAAAUCUGAAAUGAGAAAAAUUUAAACCCCCCCCCCUUUUUUCACAUCCCUGUUUCCCUUUUU